UCUGAGAACGGUUCGACUCGACU
rnacentral:miRNA from 1 species